AGAGAAGCGAAGCUGCACGAACUGAGCUCUGGCCAGCAGUCCCGGGUGACGCUCGGGAUGACGGGUGCCCUUCUUCAGGAAAGCACCCCGGCCAGAGCAGCCACCCGACUGUGACUCUACUGGAAACGAUGAGAAAACCACGCAGUGGAACCAUGUGAGCCCCCACGCUAUAAUAGAUGGCCAGAAAAACAUGCAAUAGAAGAUUCGCUGGACUGAGGUCCUGACUUGGCCACCCAAAUUGUCUUAUCCUCAAUAAGUCGCGGGGUGUCUUAGAUGUCUAAUUUAUUCAUCAAUAAUAAUAACACCCAACACAAAGAUGAUGUCUCCAAGGAAGAUCUGGCUCCAUCCCAUGUGUUCACAUAUGCAAUGCUAUCAUAACUCCCUUUUAGGACAAAGAAGAUCUAUAAUUCCUGAAACUUUGUUAAGUUUGUGUGUGUGUGUGGGGGGGGGGUGAGUUCUAUUUCCUGCU
rnacentral:lncRNA from 1 species